UUGCACACGGCGGUUCGCGGAUCUCGCCUCCUCCUCUGGCUGCAACUGUGUGCGUGUGGGUGUACUCGUAUUGGCUGUAUGUGUGUGCGUGACUACACUGAAAAUUGUGACGAAUUUUUGUGGCUUUCAAAAGAGAAAUAAUUUGCAUUUAGCAGGUGCGAUCGAGUGACCCAGAGGAAACCAACAACCAGGGAAUCUGCGGUUGCUUCCACAUUUUGCAGCACUGGUAAGCGAUAAAAUUUAUGAAAAAUAUUAAAAAUAUAUGUAGCCCGAAUCUUAAGUAUUUGCCUGUGUUCGUGUGCGAGAGAGCGAGAGAGUGCAGCCAGAAAUUGCAAUACACACAAACAAAUUGCCACGCAAAAAGCGGCCGGCUUGCCUCUCCUCUCUGUGCCCCCUCCCCUGUGUGUGUGUGCAUUGGAUGCACUUGGUGCGAUUCAUUUGCUUUUAUUACCAUUUUUGCCCCGCUCUGCACUCUUUUUCGCUUGCUGGUGGGCGCUUUUGGCUCUGCGGCAACCCUGGCAGCCGAGUGCGUUGGUGAAUAAGUUCUCUACCCUUUCGUCAGUGUGGGACGCGACUUUGAAAUGCUUGCAGCUAGUGGCACUGCAGCGGAAAGUGCAUUAAAACAUACAAAUUUAUUCACUUGUAAUGAAUAAAUGGAUAAAUAAUGGAUAUAAAAUUAUCUGCAGUGUGCGCGUGAUUAAAAACCCUUUUGUACAACUUACCAAAAAAUGUAGAUGGUUGCGAACGGACAAAAACGUUAACUAAUAAAAUAAUUAAGUCAAAAUUAGACACAUAAAAAAAAUUAUAAAUACCCUAAAAACAUUUUUUAAAAUUGGAAAGUUAAUAUGUUUUUGGCAAGCCUUUUUUAUAGCGUUUAAAAUACCUGAUAUUAGAUACUUUAUAUAUAAAAGGAGUUUUUAAAAUAUUUUGAAUUUGUAGUAAACCAUGUCAAUACACAAAUAAAAACAUUUUAAUGACAGUUCGUUAAAAAAAACUUUUUAGAUAAAAAUAUAUAUUGAAAUCAAAUGCCAUUUUAAUAAUUGCUUCCCUAAAAAAGCAAUUCUCUACGAGUUUUUAACCUUUUCCUCUACAAAAAAUAUAUUAACAUUUUAGUUCAGCAAGAGGAAAGUAAGUGAGACUAAAAUUAAACAUUUCUGUGCUGCAACUUUCAUUAUGAAAGCCAAUUGAGGCAAUUAAAACGCAUUUUCUGUGCAAUUGAUGAUGACCUACGACAAAGGAAAUGAAGUCAUACCCAUACACACACGACCCGCACUCACACACGAGCAGCGAAAAGCAAAGUGCAGGCCAAAAGCGAACGAGCAAAAAAUAACAAAAACAACAAGCAGGGGCCCUACGAAAGCCAGCAACAACAAAUUGAAAACUGCACUGCGCAUGCACAUGCACACACACUCGCGAAAAACUCCAACCCACACAGAUACGCCAACUGAGCGACAUUGCAGUGGUAUGUGUGCGCUUUUGUUCGCUCGGUGGAAGAAGAAGCAGCGGGAAAAAGUACUUAAAAAUAUAAUUAAAAUUGGAAAAUUACUUUAUAUACUACGAAAAAGUCCACGAAAUUCGAAAACAUUGCCAGGUGGAGUGAAUUUCCUUACUGAUCAUACUGAUCCCCUUUUUUCUCAAUUUAUUUCAUUGAAAUGCGCGUCAUGCCAACGGCAGUUGAAUGCACUCGGCCUUUUCGAAUGGGGAAGCCAUUGGUUUGAUGAUGCAAAUGUACAGAUUAUCCGCUUCUCCCAAUGCAUUAAUAUAACAGAUCCAGCAGAUUAUCUUCCUCUGCAGAAUAUAUAUAUUCAGUAUUUCAGACUGCUUAAUUAUUCUAUAUACUAUAUUAAUAAAUAUUAAAAAAGGGCAGCUUUAAUUUGUGUACCAAAAGUUCCAUAACUUCAACAUGCCCUUAGUGUAAAACCCACUUACAGUCCUCAAGUCUCAAAAAUGUUGACUGGCACAAUUAAAAGCCCUCACAUCCUGUACAAGCUACUAAGUUCUGACUCAUAGUCCAGCGUUUCCUUUCGACCUUGAGUGAAGUAUUUAAAGUAGAAUGGUCGGUGCAAUUAUUAAAUUCUCUGCGAGCCCCGGAGGCAUUCCACUGCACCUGCUGGUUGUCCCUCUCCCGGCCACUUGCUCAGGUUGUGUAUCUACAACUGGAAUUACUCAUCAUCAGCAUUUCCAUAGAAAUCAAAGCGCACAACAAAAGGGCUGCAACUAGGGAAGGGCAUUGGAUAUAAACCGGCAAACCUGCAAUAAACACCGAACAAACAAUACGUCUUAAAUGAAAUCUUUGCAAAUUAAGAAGCAAAACACAUUACAAGAAUAAAGGCAGUUCCUGGCGAAGGACUUAAAAGCAUCGUAGAGCAAAUGUUUACAAACUCGGAAGACUGAAAUCAAAGUAAAUGUGAAUUUAUAGAAACCUUUCAGGACUUGAAAACUUUGCAAACAAAAGGGGAAAAUAUAUAAAAAUGGCAGCACUUUUUCCUACUUCCUCUUUUUUGUCCCACCAUUUGAACUCCUUAUUUCCGUUGGGGAGGAGCGAGAGGGACGGGUAGCAGUGCCAAAGGACAAUGGUUCAAGUGCAAGGAGGAUGCCAAGCCGCAUGCAACAAUGCCAACAACAAGGGCCGAGCGAACGCCGAGGACAUGCCGUGCAAUUUCCUUUUCUGUGAUUCUUCGGAAUAAUGAGACCACAAAGACUCUUUGAAACCAAAAUAACAAUUAACGCAAAUAUGUGAUUUUUACUAUAAGCCCGAACUCAAGAAAUCAAAAACAAUCAUGACUCAGACACGAAUGACAUUUCUUUUGUCCUGAUGGAAUUUCACAACCUUACCUAAUGGAUUAAAACGUUUCUGCACCCAGGAGGGGUUGCUUCUGACUUACCAGGCCGAAUUCAAUUUCUAAUCCAACACGAAAUGGUGCAUACUUACAUAUGGACCAUUAACAGAAACCCGUAAAUCCGAACUUGUGCUGUUUUAUAUCUGUUACAAGACCGGCAUUAUGGGAGUCUGUCAAUGCAAACAACUGGUUUUUGGCAACAAAAUCGAGUAACAUAUCAAAAAGCUGUAAUAAUGGCGGAGAAAGGAUUAAAAGCUAAAAAGCAUUUAAACAAUGCAAACCAUAACAUGAAUUAACUAAAUUUAUAUAAUAUAAAUAAUAAUAUUGAUAACUAAAUGGAAUAUGAAGCCUUUUAAAAAGGAAAAAAUAACGAGUGGCAAACAGAUGGAUUUUAUGUUCAUUUGGUUCAUUAAUUGUUAUCGACCAAAGACUUCAAAUUAAAAAUAAAUACUCUUAUUAAAAUGCUAAGUAAAAAUAAUAAUCGGAAAAACUUUAUAACAUUGAAUUAUAAGUUUUCCAUAAUAAUAUAAAAACCUAAUGAAUUAAAAGGACUGCGUAU